rnacentral:rRNA from 1 species
CCUACGGGUGGCUGCAGUGAGGAAUAUUGGUCAAUGGACGCAAGUCUGAUCCAGCCAUGCCGCGUGCAUGAUGACGGCUCUAUGGUUUGUAAACUCCUUUUGUACGGGGGUAAACCCCGAUACGUGUAACGUUUUGAAAGUAUCGUACGAAUAAGGCACGGCUAACUCCGUGCCAGCAGCCGCGGUAAUACGGUGGAUCCGAGCGUUAUCCGGAUUUAUUGGGUUUAAAGGGUGGGUAGGCGGUUUGAUAAGUUAGAGGUGAAAUGUCGGGGCUCAACCCCGAACCGGACUCUAAUACCGUUGGACAAGAGAAUAGGUGCGGUAGGAGGAAUGUAUGGUGAAGCGGUGAAAUGCUU